rnacentral:rRNA from 1 species
UGCAGCCAUGCCGCGUGUAUGAAGAAGGCCUUCGGGUUGUAAAGUACUUUCAGUCAGUGAGGAAGGUGGGUAUGGUUAAUAGUCAUACUCAUUUGACGUUUAGCUGCAGAAGAAGCACCGGCUAACUCCGUGCCAGCAGCCGCGGUAAUACGGAGGGUGCGAGCGUUAAUCGGAAUUACUGGGCGUAAAGCGCAUGCAGGUGGUUUUGUUUAAGUCAGAUGUGAAAGCCCGGGGCCGUCAACCUCGGAAUUGCAUUUUGAAAACUGGCAAACUAGAGUACUGUAGAGGGGGUAGAAGUUUCAGGUGUAGCGGUGAAAUGCGUAGAGAUCUGAAGGAAUAACCGGUGGCGAAGGCGGCCCCCUGGACCAGAUAACUGACACUCAGAUGCGAAAGCGUGGGGAGCAAACAGGAUUAGAUACCCUGGUAG